rnacentral:lncRNA from 1 species
CAUCGAUGUAUCUUUACCUACACAUUUAUACAGUAUCCAUACCGCGAGUAGCAUGCAAAGUAAUGGAGCUUUUUGUGAACCGCAUGGAAAACUAGUUCCACGCUAUUGUUGCGUCCCAAACGGGGCCAAGCUUUCGCCCCGUGUCAAGCGGCCAGCGCAGUUGCCAUCCAACGCGACCUUGAACUUUCUUGAACCAUAAAAUGGCGGCCAGGAAGUGAUUUUUAGAAAUGUUAUUGAUGAUAUUUGCUGUCUUAUAAGCGAAAUAUGAUGUGGCAUGGGAUACGUUAUCAGCCCGUGGAUACAUAAGGUCUUGCUUGUGCUGGCCGCAGUAGGACACAACAGCCACAGAGAGGUAGAGAUGCUGUCACAGCCUGUUGUCGACAGCCCAGUGCCAUCCAACCUCGACUUGGUAACCAGUGAGAAGUCUUCAGCACUCAUCCUAGUGACAGUCAUGUGUAUCUUGGGUGGAGAGGCACUUUCUGACUUUUCAGAUUGAAAGAUUGUCAAAGUCAGACGUCUGAGUUGGGAACAGCCUGGAUCAGCUGCACAUUGGAGGCCCGCCCCAUCGCCCAGACAUUAAACCUUUCGGUGGACUGUUUAUACCGGAAGAACAAGAUUGUGUCUUCGGAGUGGUCCCUACAUCCCCAAGUCUCCUAGUGGAUAAUGAUGAGUUUGGACACAUGGCAGUAACUAUUUCCAUGUUGUUUUAUUCAGAUGAUGACUUUCAACAAAUGGUGACAUCAAUAAAUGACAAUGCUAACAUCAAACAGCCCCAAGAUCCUGACCACAACAAAGGUGACUGGCACGAUGUUACUGUGGAAGAAAUGAAGGCUUUUGAUGGUGUCUUGAUGUACAUGGAUGUUGCCAGGCUUGACCAGUUAUAGCUGGUUACAGUGUCCAGGAACUGAAGUAUUUUCUAGAUCCAGAUUUGUGCAGAUAAGUAGGUCCUCACCUGUCAAUGAUGACACACCUGUGCCAGGUGACAAAUUGUAAUAAAUCAGAUACAUUCUUGACAGUAUGAGAGCAGCAUUUAGAGUCAUUACAACCUCCACAAGCAAGUGUCAGUGGACAAGGCGAUGGUUCCUUGGGCCUUGCUGGGCAGGUAGUUGUCAAAUUGUGUGAAAACAUAAGGAACAAGGGUCAUUUCAUCUACACAGACAACGUUAUACCAGUGCUACCUUUGGUGACUUUCUGUUGCAUUUAGAGUCAUUACAACCUCCACAAGCAAGUGUCAGUGGACAAGGCGAUGGUUCCUUGGGCCUUGCUGGGCAGGUAGUUGUCAAAUUGUGUGAAAACAUAAGGAACAAGGGUCAUGUCAUCUACACAGACAACGUUUAUACCAGUGCUACCUUUGGUGACUUUCUGUUGCAGAAGGACACGAAUGGCGGGCUACCCCGCUGUUGAUCUCCCUUCAGGUUGAGACACAAAUCACCUGCAGAGAGGGACCAUCGACUGGUGAGCUUGUGGGGACUUUGUUGCUGCCAUGUGGAAGGAUAACAAGGUUGUCUUCGACCUUAGCACAGCACACUCUCCUGAGGAAGACAGUUUGACGGCCAAGAGGAGGAAGAAGGACGGCAGACGUGAAGAAUACUGCCACAUCCAAGGGAGAUAAUCCACUGUCACUGCACGUGCCAAUCAAGCUUCUUCAGUAACCAAUGCCUGGUGAUCAAUCCAAGGUGGAUAAUCCACUUUCAGGGCACCUGCCAAUCAAGAUUCAUCAGUCACCUAUGCCUCUAGGUUCUACUACCCCAAAUCAGAACCAGUUGGGACAGUGCGGUUUUCGUAGCCUUCAGUGCAGAUCACGAAAUGUCUGCAGGCUGUGAUUGGAGGAUAUUGUGUUUUAGCAUGCCUGAUGUUGACUGGGGAGGUAGAUGUGCACUCAUGCAGAAGAAAUAGAAGUUUUCACAUCCAAUUUGGCUUUUGGAGAAGCUGAUCUGAAGUCUGGUCUUGGCAGUGUGUGAUCGACAACCCUUGUUUUGCCUCGCUGCGCUCUAUUACCUUGAAGAAGUUGUGGAACUUGCAGGUGAAGCAAUUCCACACCUCCAUAUCAGUUCUCACCUGUGCAACGCCUUGGCCAUCUUCCGGAGGCAAGGGAAGUAACUGACUAUAAAAGUCCAGUUUCCACCCUUGCCGAACUAUGUUGGAAUUUCGUGGCUGGAUCAUAGCCCAACCAGUGGCUAUUACAAGUUAUGUUCCUUCUGUGUCCCUCCAGCUGACCAAUCAGUUUCCUCCUCCCUCUCAUAGCACUUGCAUUUGCUUCAAACAAUAUGGCUGCGCAUAGUCAAGAUGAUCUGAUCGAUAAUCAAGAUCUAUAUUGUAAUAAAAUGGGUCUUGCCUCGUGAAGCGCAUCAGAUAAUUGGAGUACCAUGAUUAGAAACAUGAAAAGAUUUGGAAAAUAUCUGUCAACAUCCAGUUGACAGUACACAUGCUUUGGAAAUCCUGCAGUCGAACAAAUUCUGCACUUUGAAUCAAUGUUGUUUACGAACCUAGUUUCUUAUGCGAUUUUGAUUGGACUAUGCAAAGACUUGUUAGUCUAGCCACAAUGGAACUCCAGAAUUCCAGCCUAGUUAUACAAGGGUUGAAACGGCUUUUAUAGUCAAUUAACUCCCUUGUUUCGGGAAGAUGACUUUCCUCCUGCUGCCCGAAGAUCAGAAGACACUAUUUAUUUCCUGUUAUCACAUUUUCUGUUACAUGACAGUGCACCCAAGCCCUAGUCGAAGUUGACUUUGCUGGACUCCCGCAGUUGAUGAGAUGAACAGCACUGUGGGCUCUUCCAUGGAAGUUUCGAGCAAAGGUUGUAUCACGAGGUAAUGACCGAGCAUUGCCUUGUUUGUUGCUUCACACUGUUGACUGUUGAGGUUGGUUUGGGUCUUCUCCAUCAGGUUUAGGGCCGAGAAGAAAGUUGGUGUAUUGUCUCAAAUUUUGAAAGUUUUCUGACUUUGUCACCAAUUUUGAAGUUUUUAUCCAAAUAUUUACUGUACAAUAACAAAUUUUGCUUCUCCCCUUUGCAAACCAUUGACUGCUUUCUGUUUUUUUGUGUGAUUCCCCAUAUAACAUUUUGCAAUAGUAUCAGAAGUCUAGGAGAGAGAUUUCUUCAACCUUGGCAGGUCACCUGCAUGACCUGAGUAAGCAGCUGAAAACUCACCUGCACAUCUGGAUGCACAGUCUACAGAAAAUGUAUUUGCCAAGUUUUGUUUAUCUUGUUUGGUUCUAGGUAUCCACAACAAAUUUAGAAUUUUUAAUAAACUUUCUGUUGCUGGCCCGUUUUAUGCCCUGUAUGGGGAAAAGUUUGUCGGCAAACAUCCAUUUCACCUGCUUCAUUAAUUUCAGAGUGAGCUGCAUUUUCAGCAACUGUUGUCAAAUUCUUCCUCAAUUUGGUCUUUCCUUAAGUCCCUGAAACACUGCAGUCAGCUGUUUUCAUUUCCAAUUCAUUCUGACAUGUGCACAUCAGAUGUGCAGUCUGGGUUGUUUACACAAGAAAUAUUGUCAACUAAACUGUGCUUUAAACAAAGUUUUGGUUUUGUGUUUAAAGCCAAAAUUUGGUGGUCACCUGUCUCGAUCUCAGUGGCCACAUUGGUUACUUGAGUGGCUGGCUGAAACACAGUGGAUUGUUGUACAUGGCAUCAGGUGACAAGCUUACAUUAUUUAAAUUUAUUCCCCUGUAUUUAUUUAUUUCCCUUAUUUCCACCCUCCAUCUGCUUGUACAGUCUACAACCAACCAACCGACCAACCUUUGUGUUCUGAAAUUUAGCUCUCUACAUGCCUGGACCCGUGAAAAUCUGGGGUAGAAUAGGUCUUCAGCAACCCAUACUUGCCAUAAAAGGCGACUAUGCUUGUCGUAAGAGGCGACUAACGGGAUUGGGUGGUCAGGCCCGCUUACUUGG